CCCUUAGAUGUUAUGGGCCGCACGCGCGCUACACUGAUGCAUUCAACGAGUCUAAAACCUGCUCUGAUAGGGGUGGGUAAUCUUUUGAAUGUGCAUCGUGAUUGGGAUAGAUGAUUGCAAUUUUUCAUCUUCAACGAGGAAUGCCUAGUAAACGCAAGUCAUCAGCUUGCAUUGAUUACGUCCCUGCCCUUUGUACACACCGCCCGUCGCUCCUACCGAUUGAAUGAUCCGAUGAAUAUCAUGGAUUGAGGAUGCAAGUAGGUUCGCCUAUCUUCAUCUUCGAGAAGUGAAGUAAAUCUUAUCAUUUAGAGGAAGGAGAAGUCGUAACA
rnacentral:rRNA from 1 species